rnacentral:tRNA from 1 species
GCGGGGAUAGCUCAGUUGGGAGAGCGUCAGACUGAAGAGUAUAACUUCGGUUCUACAAGAUUAUCUGAAGGUCGUGUGUUCAAUCCACACUCACCGCA